ACCACAAUAGAUAGUGGUGAAUGUUAUCUCAUAAAUGAUAGCAGUGGUGACUUGCUAUUUUGCUAACCAGAAUGUCAAACGUCACUAUCUCUCUCAUUAACCUUGCAGGAUAGCAAAUGUUACUGCUAUUUCAACUCAUUAGCGUAGCAUCCAAACAUGUAAAAACCAACACUAAGAGCAAUCCUCUACACGUCACUUGACCAGCCAGAAAUAUCUGCUAAAUUUCCCUCAAAAACAUCUCACUGACAUAUAAAGGAUAUGUUAGAUAAUUUAAUCACAUAUAUAUAUUAUGUAUGAAAACAAACUGGAUGGAAUGUUUUGGACCAGAAGUCAAUUAAAUCAGAAGUGACUUUAGGUGAAACAAUAAUAUAUCAAGAGAAAGUGUUCAUGCAAUACAAGAAAAGGAAUAUUCAGGUGAAAUGAUGUACAUUACAAGUGCAGAAAAUCUUUGUCAGAAAUUCAACAUUUGGGAAGCAGCGAGGAUGACAAGAAGGGACGAAGAUUAUGUAUUGGAAGCUGAAAACGUUGUAGUUGCAGAGAAAAGAACAAAGGAAGAACAUAAGCAUGCUGGUUGAUUGGUGGUUGUAGAGUAAUGAACAGUUUACUCUGUGAUGUCAGAAUUGUAACAAUAAAAAUUAUCUAUAAUCCUUUCUA